AUUGAACGCUGGCGGCAGGCCUAACACAUGCAAGUCGAGCGGUAGAGAGAAGCUUGCUUCUCUUGAGAGCGGCGGACGGGUGAGUAAUGCCUAGGAAUCUGCCUGGUAGUGGGGGAUAACGUUCGGAAACGGACGCUAAUACCGCAUACGUCCUACGGGAGAAAGCGGGGGACCUUCGGGCCUUGCGCUAUCAGAUGAGCCUAGGUCGGAUUAGCUAGUUGGUGGGGUAAUGGCUCACCAAGGCGACGAUCCGUAACUGGUCUGAGAGGAUGAUCAGUCACACUGGAACUGAGACACGGUCCAGACUCCUACGGGAGGCAGCAGUGGGGAAUAUUGGACAAUGGGCGAAAGCCUGAUCCAGCCAUGCCGCGUGUGUGAAGAAGGUCUUAGGAUUGUAAAGCACUUUAAGUUGGGAGGAAGGGCAGUUACCUAAUACGUAAUUGUUUUGACGUUACCGACAGAAUAAGCACCGGCUAACUCUGUGCCAGCAGCCGCGGUAAUACAGAGGGUGCAAGCGUUAAUCGGAAUUACUGGGCGUAAAGCGCGCGUAGGUGGUUUGUUAAGUUGGAUGUGAAAUCCCCGGGCUCAACCUGGGAACUGCAUUCAAAACUGACUGACUAGAGUAUGGUAGAGGGUGGUGGAAUUUCCUGUGUAGCGGUGAAAUGCGUAGAUAUAGGAAGGAACACCAGUGGCGAAGGCGACCACCUGGACUAAUACUGACACUGAGGUGCGAAAGCGUGGGGAGCAAACAGGAUUAGAUACCCUGGUAGUCCACGCCGUAAACGAUGUCAACUAGCCGUUGGAAGCCUUGAGCUUUUAGUGGCGCAGUUAACGCAUUAAGUUGACCGCCUGGGGAGUACGGCCGCAAGGUUAAAACUCAAAUGAAUUGACGGGGG
rnacentral:rRNA from 1 species